rnacentral:tRNA from 1 species
GGGAGUGUGGCUUAAUAGUAGAGCACUUGCCUCGAAUGUAGGAAGCACUGGGUUCCAACCUCAGCACCA